AACCAUUAUGAUCGGUCAAAUUCAGCAACUAGUGGCCUACAGGCUACAUCAAGAUCAAAGCUUGUUUUGUAUGGCACAUUUAAAAUAACUCAUGCUGACCAAGGUGCUUUCCAAAAGAACAACAUAUAAAACAGAACCAGCCAGAACUAAGACAGCAAACACAUAAAAACAACACAACAAACACAAGACCAUCAAAUAUGCAACUACUAGCUCACACCAGAUCUCAGGCAAGUAACUUAAGUUCCCUCUUAAGAGUGCUUUAAAACGACAGAUCUCAAAAACUAGUCAGCUUCCCACAUAAACAAAUUUUGGACACUACAGAGUGCACUUAUGAUGCUCUCCGGCCAGGCAGCACACUACUUUAUGAGCUAACAGCAUUGCAGACAAUAGUUAGCAAUCAAAAAGGUGCAAAUUUGAAAAUACAUACAUACUCUUUAGCUCUGAAUGAAUUGAUAAUGUUAUUAGAAUAAUUAAAUAUUAGGCAUCAUACAUUAGAAUAAUUAUGAAUAGUUUGUUUGCAAAAACAGAUAAAUCCGUUUUUUUUUUCACAAAUCAUGUUUUUUAUGUUUUUAUUGUGUUAGUUGUAUUUUUUAACGUAAUCAAAAUAAUCCAAAUGUCUAUUAUUUCUAGAAGCCUGUGUGGACUGAACACGUUGUUAAAUCCUAGUUUACUAAGUCACAACAGAAUGUCACACUGGAGGUUUAGUGAAGUUAGACCUGUAGCUCGAGCGACUAACGGUCAAACUCUGAGCUGGGGCUCCGGUGACGUCAGCAGCCCCGCUCCACACGCCAACUCAAUACAGACAGCCAGGUCAAUGAGAGAAAACACACCGAAAUGAAGGAGAAAGUUACGGUUUGCUCGCUUUUUGGUUGAAUACGAGCACACGUCAUCGAAGCCAAGAGAGUCAUUGCCUUUUUUAGGCUGUGUUUUAAUUACUGUGUAAACAACAGUCUGUGAUGCAGAGCAGGGAAUGAAGAGGAUGGGAAGAGCUUCACAAGAAGAGACAUGGGGAGAGCAGAUAGUGUGAGCUGAAGCAGAUUCACUGGCUGGAGGAUCAGAGGUAAACUGUCCAAGGAUGGCUGCCCUCUAGUGGACACACUCUCUCAUGGGUCUCUCCUGUUACAGCACUCCAGUCCAGCAGUGAACAUCUGGAGAAGACACAAGAUGAAACACAUCCAGCAUUAAGGAAAACACAAUAUUGGUCAGAUUUCUGUAACGUAACACCCAUUUGACAGAAAACUCUCAACUAUGAGUGAUGCCCAAACCUUGAGGAACAUAGCAAGACUGUGCUUGGUUUGUGAUAAACCUAUAAAAUAUAAAGAGGAACUGUGUGUGUGUAAAUGUUAUUGA